AGUCAUAUGCUUGUUUCAAAGAUUAAGCCAUGCAUGUCUAAGUAUAAACCAAGUUUAUACCGGUGAAACUGCGAAUGGCUCAUUAAAACAGUUAUAGUUUAUUUGAUAGUCAUUUUGAAUUUAUUCAAAAUAGUGGAUAACUGUGGUAAUUCUAGAGCUAAUACAUAUUACUAAAAACCUGACUAGUUCUUUUUGAACAGGAAAGGUUGCAUUUAUUAGAUUUUAUAAAUCAACAAAAGGUUUAACCACCUUUUAUGAGGAAUCAUAAUAACUUUUAAUUCGAAAUUAUUUUUGAAUUAGCAAAUCGCAGAGGCUUUUUAAAAGCGGCGAUGUAUCAUUCAAAUUUCUGACCUAUCAACUUUUGAUGGUAAGGUAUUGGCUUACCAUGGUCAUAACGGGUAACGGGGAAUAAGGGUUCGAUUCCGGAGAGGGAGCCUGAGAAACGGCUACCACAUCCAAGGAAGGCAGCAGGCGCGCAAAUUAUCCAAUCCUAAUACAGGGAGAUAGUGACAAAAAAUAUUGAUUUGAGUUUUUUAUAAAUUCAAAAUUGAAAUGAGUACAAUUUAAAAACCUUAACAAGGAACAAUUGGAGGGCAAGUUCUGGUGCCAGCAGCCGCGGUAAUUCCAGCUCCAAUAGCGUAUAUUAAAGUUGUUGCAGUUAAAAAGCCCGUAGUCUAAACUUCGAUUUGGGUUAUAAAUGAAUUGAUUUUUCAAUUGCAUUUUUUAAUUCAACGUAAUUAUAUAAUUACCUUGAACAAACUAGAGUGCUCCAAGCAGUCUCUAAAUGAUUGAAUAUAUUAGCAUGGAAUAAUAGAAUAUGACUUUCUAAAAUUUUGGUUGAUUAAUUUUAAAAAGUAAUGAUGAAUAGGGACAAUUGGGGACAUUUGUAUCUAAUGGCUAGAGGUGAAAUUCUUGGAUUCAUUAGAGACAAACUGAUGCGAAAGCGUUUGUCAAGAGCGUUUUCAUUGAUCAAGGACGAAAGUUAAGGGAUCGAAGACGAUUAGAUACCGUCGUAGUCUUAACAGUAAACGAUGCCGACUUGGGGGUAGAAUCAUGAUAUUUUAUUAUGAAUUCAUAUCUUACAACCAUCCGGGAAACCAAAGUUUUUGGGUUCUGGGGGGAGUAUGGUCGCAAGGCUGAAACUUAAAGGAAUUGACGGAAGAGCACACCAGAAAUGGAUUGUGCGGCUUAAUUUGACUCAACACGGGAAAACUUACCAGGUCCAGACAAAUAAAGGAUUGACAGAUUAAUAGCUCUUUCAUGAUAAUUUGGGUGGUGGUGCAUGGCCGUUCUUAGUUGGUGGAUUGAUUUGUCUGGUUAAUUCCGAUAACGAACGAGAUUUUAAUUUUUAGUUGGGAAGUCUAAAAUCAUUUAGUACUCUCCUUUACAAACUAAAAAGACUAAUUACAAAAAGUAAUUUGAAGUUUAAAGCAAUAACAGGUCUGUGAUGCCCUUAGAUGUUCUGGGCUGCACGCGCGCUACACUGAUGAACUCAGAGAGUUCACAAAAAUAAACCUUUAUGGUUUAAAAACCUCGCCCGGUAGGGAAGGAUUUAAAUAUCUAAUAGGGGUAAUCUUUGUAAAUUUCAUCGUGAUAGGGAUAGUCCAUUGCAAUUAUUGGAUUUAAACGAGGAAUUUCUAGUAAGUACAAGUCAUCAACUUGUGCUGAUUACGUCCCUGCUCUUUGUACACACCGCCCGUCGCUACUACCGAUUGAAUGUUUUAGUGAGAUUUUUGGAUUUUGGAUUUUGGAUUUUAAAUUUAUAGUUCGGAAAAAGCUACUCUAACUUGAGCAUUUAGAGGAAGUAAAAGUCGUAACAAGGUC
rnacentral:rRNA from 1 species